rnacentral:rRNA from 1 species
UAAACUAGGAUUGAUACCCUAUUAUUCCAUCGUUGAAAUUUAUUGCUUGAGUAGUAAACAGUUAUUUUCUUGAAAUUUAAAGAAUUUGGCAGUAUUCAAGUCUAGUUAGAGGAACCUGCUUUAUAAACGAUACGCCACGAAUUAUCUUACUUUUUCUUGUCAUAGUAUGUAUACCUCCAUUAUUAAGUAACAUUAAAAAGUAAGUGCUGUAAUAGAAUUUUUCUAGUAUAUUAGGUCAAGGUGCAGCUUAUGAAAAAGUCUUUGUGGGUUACAUUAUUUUUAUAUGUGGAUAAAUAUUUUAUAAAUUUUUUGAAAUUGGAUUUAAUUGUAUUUUUAUUUUAAUAUGUUAAAUUGAUAUUAGCUCUAGAAUAUGUACACCCGCCCCGCUCUUAA